CAUAUUUUGUCAUUUACUUUGUUGACUAUAUUAACAUCUGUCAUUUUAAAGCCACUUUUUGAUAACUUUAACAUCUGAAUCUGUUUGGGUCUAUUUCUUUUGUCUGUUUUCUCUGUUCAGUUUCUGGGCACGUGAUUUUGUUUUCUCAUACAACUAGUAAUUUACUUGAAUGCCGGAUAUUGUAUAUAAAAACUAUAGAGAUAAUUUGAGGCUCUGAAUGAUUUCAUCUUCCUCAAAUGAUUCACUUUUGCUUCUGCUGGGAUUGUAGCAGGGGCGGAUCACCUUAAUUGAGCUGAUGAAUGAGCUGGAUCAGACCUGAGCUUCAGCCUGCAUGAUGGCUGCUCGCCUUUGCUCUUAGCCAUGGUCAGAGUCUCGAGUAACUAGCAGCCAGCUGAUAGAAUGGAAGUGAAACCAUGGCCCUCGUCCCCUUGCAAACCUGGAAACCCAGUGUUGAGCAUGUGUGAAGAGAGAAACAGAAUCAGGUGAAAUGAAAUCUUCCUAAGACCCUGCUCAGGAAACUAAAUUUGACGUAAUUGGACACAAGAAGUUGUUCAUCCAUUCUAUUCCGCCAGAGGAGACAGGACAGAUUUCCCGUGCGUUCUUGGGAAGCUGGAAGAGGGAGACAGCUCUGCCAGGUGGAGUGAUAUUCUCAUGAGAAGUGAAAAAGAAGAGGCAGAGAUGGAGAGUUUGGUUCUAGAAGGGUGGAAGGUUUUGCUUAUAAACAUAUCAACACACUUGCUUUUCCCGCCAAGAUGCAAACUUUGGGGAAUUGCUCAAAUAUAAGAUGGGGUUUAAAUAUUGGACAGCCAAAAAUAUGACCCAUGUUCAAAAUAUGCAUCCUGGUAUCAUUCAGUUCGACGUGUUCUAGUUCUUCUGCAGCUUUCUGUCUCAUUCCUUUUGCCCCUACAACUCUCCACCUUUUUGUGGAUUAAGUUAUCUCCAUGAUAAAAUUAUUAUGUUGUCUUCCCUCUUUGACUUUCUUGUCGGCAGCCUGGCUCUUCCCAGG
rnacentral:lncRNA from 10 species